UUGCACAAACACCAACUAACUUCUUCAUGAUCUUAAAGAAAUUAUCAAAAAUUCAUGUAUGAUAUUGUGACUUUCAAGAAAACAGUAAAUAGCAAGUCCUAGAACCAGUAGAUUAUGAAUUACUGGCCACAAAGCUGAUCAGGAAUGGUGAAUCUAGUUGGCAAACAUAGGAUAUCUUGAAUCAGCUUAUCAGGGACUAUAAAUAUAAAAAUAUAUCAACCAUUAGAGAUACUUUUCAUCUAAUCACUACAGUGCUGAAAACUUAAAGGCCAAAAUGCUACAUAAUACAAGAAAAAGUAUACAAUCCAGAGAAUUCUGAGUACUGGAAGCUGCCUCAGUUCUACCACGUACCUUCUCCAUCUUGAGAGGAUUCCGGCUUUGAGAGUCACUUCCCGAAAUGCAAAAUGAAAGAAUUUAAAACAAGAAUCAGCCAAAAGAUUCCUGGCCAAGAAACUGCUUUGGCAGCAUCUUGAUUUCUUGAGUCAUUUUUUAUAUUUUUCCCUUGAAGUUGUGUCCUGGCAAAUCUGAUUGAAUCAAUAUGUCUUUUAUGGCCAGACUGUUCUCUGGCUUCAUCUAUCAUCUGUUCUAGAAAAGCCAUUAAUUCAGUAGAAAGAAGUUGUGGGAGGUUUUUACUGCAGAGAAUGAAGGUUUUUUUCAACACAAAAUACUGAUCCAACUGGAAAAGUGUGAAUGCAGCAAUUUCAGAAAUCAAAGUCAAGCCAUCUUACAUGUUUCUGGAAAGAAGACAAAAUAUAAAAUAGAACUAUUGACUUGGGAUCCGUGCUGACUGAAACAGAAAGAUUGCUGCUCUUUUUUUAAAGUUGAAAGGAAAAGCUUCCUUCCGUGCUUGUAUGACAAGACUGUGUAGAUCCAAAAGCCAUGGAAGGGCAACACUUUGAAGAGAGCAUUCCAUCUCUACUAGCUGAUGUGUCUCUAAACGAAGCAACACAGAGCUUUUUCUUUUUUUAGUACCGGGGAUUGAACUCGGAUCCUUGCACUUGUGAGGCAGGGGCUGGAACCACUGAGCUAAUCCCCAGCCCUAACACAACACUUCUUAAGUGAAGAUACCAUCUCUCUACCCUCUUCCUCUAAAAAGCUGAGACUGAGCAGAAGUAUAGUCCCUCAAUGUUACCAUACUCUGCGCACCACCCAGCUGGAGCCUUGUCUUUCUAGUGGGAAGGUAGAUGAAACCCUUUAGCCUGAAG
rnacentral:lncRNA from 1 species